rnacentral:tRNA from 1 species
UAUAGGGCAGUGUAAGAGCACAAAGAAUUUUGAUUUCUUAAGAAAGAGCCAAACAACUCUUCCCAAUAA